rnacentral:lncRNA from 1 species
AAAACCAAAGAUGCUCAUUAGAAGUCCAAGUGAUUCCCACCACGGUUUGAGAGAGAGCUCGGAUUCCUUACCCAGAGGCUGACCAGAGCCCAUCCCCUCCUGGAGAAACGGAGAUAGCUCACCUUCUCCACACUCAAAAGAGCUGAGUGAAGUUACAUGACAUUUCCUAGGAAGCAAACUUAGUGGAACUUUAGAUGUGCCUGGGAACAGUGUCUUCAUGCGAGAUCUUCCCUGCUGAGGACUCUUGAUGCUGCAGAAGCAGGUAGACGCAGCUGUGCUUAGAAGGCAACAAGAUCUCCAGACAACAGACCCGGUGACAUCUCCAGGUGAUCUGAUCUCCUAUAGUGGGUCCCCAGUGGUGGCAUCUUAAAUGAAGACACCAACCAACAACUGCUCCGUCUAUCAACUGAAAACCAAUACCUUGAACAGAAAACAAAAUUCUACUGAUGAAAAAUACUGCUUUGUUGUGUUCAAAGCCUAACACUAAGAUAGAAGAGCCUACUUCUGGAGUAAUUCGUAUAACUCUGUGACAAAUCCACUUCAGCCUUGGUAAUGCCUUUCGUUUUGACUUCAAAACAUUCACUGGCUCUCGCGGAUUUGUGCUAUUUAACACCGAGAUAAAGGAAAGAGAUGCUGCUGUGUGCGCGACACUCGACUCUCUGCUUCCCAUCCCUGGAAAGUCUGGUUGCAUGUUCCAUCUCGUAAAGAAAUGCAUGUUGAUCAUAUGAGCACACCUAAGGAGAAAUCUACUGGGACCGUGUUUGAUUAAAGAGAUCCUGUGGCAUCUUGUGGGCAAAACUUCUUCAAGUGGUUUCUAGACCUACCGAUGGAAUUUGCUUGUGCCUUCACUAAAGAAAAUUGCCACAGAUGUCUACUUCCUUGACCUGGAUACAAUUCAUCUGCCAGAUCCCAAGCGUCACUCCUUUUUAGAUGAACAACUGUGCUGCCCUCAUGCCUGCCAUCUGACACCCUCCUGCUUGGAGCACGUGUCUCCUUCAUACCUAAGCUUCACACCAAGACCAGACUUGUCUAUGACCUAUGAAGUAAUGUGACCUGUUGAGAAGAUACAGCACAUGACUGGAUGUCCUGCACACGCUGCCUGGUCAUCUGACAUCAUGGGUAUCUCCCCGAGGUCCUCUCACCUUUCAACUAGUUCUUCCCAUUGAAACAUGCUGAAACAAAAUACGCGAUCUCGAUAAUUACUAUGUUCAAUAACCUAGAAUUAAAUGCAUUAUCACAACUCUAUGGCACAAUGGGAAAGAAAUUCACUCCCCCUUAAAAAAAAAUAAGUGAAGUGACACGUAUUUAAAAUGUGAUAUACAAAAAAAAACCUUUAAAAAUAUCUUUUUGUGUGUGUAACUUGCUGGAAAAAAUCUAUUAUACCUCCUUGUUCACAAAGUUCUGCUUCAUGCUUUUUCUAAAGAAGUAAAAACAAAACUAAGCUCAUUUUACAGAUGAGCAUUAAAGGGUCUUUUUAGAUUUUAAUUUUUCCUUAAUUUUUCAGCCAUCCUAUCUGAAAACACAGCACCUCCCUCGAAAACUCAUUUUUACAACAAACAGCUUCUUAUAAUUAUCCAACGCUGCUUUAUAAGCUGAAACCCUUUUAGUAAGUUUACAUAAAAACUCUAUAAGGUCCUUAAAACAUCUGUGAUGAAACUCACACAAUGCAGUAAUAUCCAAGGAGAACUCUCAACAGUAGCUUCUCACAGACUGCCAAAGUCCAUGACUCUUUCUUGAGAUUAUGAAAGGCCACUCAUUUUUGUUUUCCUGAACUUAACGUAGACUUAACUAAAUCCCCUAACAGUAGCUAAUGGCUCUUAAUUAUAUGAUGAGAUAAAGGAGAAGAAAGUUGUAUUCACUGAAAGGUAGAAUUAUUACUAAAAUUGUCUAAUUUUACAUGACACUAAAAUUAAAGAUGACACAGCAAAGAAAGCAAAAUGCCCCCACGCAGUGGAUGAGCAAAACCCAAGCUUUUACUUUGCCAAGACUGACUUCCGAGAAUAUGUCUCAGUUUCAAAAAAUGUCAAGAAAGCAGUUAGAUUUCUGCAGUAGAUCUCAACAGUUCUUUGUUAACGUAUGGACAAAUUCCACAUUGUUUUUUGAAUCCAGUAACAUUUCGAUGGUUAAAAUGUCUCCUUCACCACUGAACAACACAGUCUACUCUGAGACAUCCUCAUUGUUCUCCAAUAUAGUCUCCAAAUAGUCUUGACUAAGUGUCACAAGCAGACAUCUGACUUUAAGAGGACUAAGAGAUUGAAAAGACCAGUUAAUGGGAAUGCCUAGCAUUGCUAUAUUAAUUCCUUUGUGGGCCAGAUUUAUUUCCCAAUGGCUUGUGUAAAUAAAUGCACUAGUUAU